rnacentral:misc_RNA from 1 species
AAGUCGUAACAAGGUGUCCGUUAGUGAACCAGCGGAGGGAUCAUUACAGAGUUGCAAAACUCCCCAAACUAUCGUGAACCUUUGCCGCUAAACAGUUGCUUCGGCGGGUGGCCCGCCGGAGGAAUCCAAAAAACCAUCGCUUUCAGUACUGGCCUCUCUGAGUUAGUUACUGUACUUUUAAUCAAGUCAAAUCUUUCAACAACGGAUCUCUUGGUUCUG